GCCCACGGAAAGAGAAGAGAGGGCCCGUGUAUCAGUUCCUAGGUUGGGCCAGGAGGGACAGGGCCUCAGACACCAUGCCUCUGCCAGAAAGCUGAGCACAGAUGAAAGCACCAUCUUCCUGCCCACCCUGCUCCUUUCCCCCUGUUUCCUCUCCAAGUAGCUCUUGGAACACCCAUCUAGACUAGAAAAGGUUGCUAGAACAUUAGCUAGUUCUAGUUUGGACACAUGAGUAGCAGACUUUAUAAGGCUGAGGUUUUUCCAUUAGAAGACUCAUCUUUGGGAAAUGUGGGAAGGACCGGUACAAAAUCUGGUUUGGGGCUGAGUUUUUGACCCAUAUUUAAGACCACAGUGGUUCAGGGAAACAGGGAAUGCUAAAAAAAAAAAAAAAAAAAAAAAAAAAUGUGUGUGCACACA